rnacentral:tRNA from 1 species
GGCCUGGUGGUCUAGUAGUAUGAUUCCUUGUUAGGGUCGAGGAGGUCCUGGGUUCAAUUCCCGGCCAGGCCC